rnacentral:tRNA from 1 species
AAAUAGGAAGCAAAACUUGCAUCUAGUUUCGACCUAGAAGUAUGAUCAAAUGAUCCCUAUUUA